CAGCCGCCGCGGUAAUACGUAGGGCGCAAGCGUUAUCCGGAAUUAUUGGGCGUAAAGAGCUCGUAGGCGGUUUGUCGCGUCUGCCGUGAAAGUCCGGGGCUCAACCCCGGAUCUGCGGUGGGUACGGGCAGACUAGAGUGAUGUAGGGGAGACUGGAAUUCCUGGUGUAGCGGUGAAAUGCGCAGAUAUCAGGAGGAACACCGAUGGCGAAGGCAGGUCUCUGGGCAUUAACUGACGCUGAGGAGCGAAAGCAUGGGGAGCGAACAGGAUUAGAUACCCCAGUAGUCCCUGUCUCUUAUAA
rnacentral:rRNA from 1 species